rnacentral:sRNA from 1 species
GGGGGUGAAGGCACACCAGGGCGCGGGCGUCGCCUGGCACCAGGAGGAGCGGUCACGGGUCAGCUGGCCCCGGGCGGGGGUGCAUCCCAGGCAGGGCCUCCGCAGCGGGCCCAGAACUUUCUCUGCUUCCUCUUCCUUUCCCAUCCCGGUUUUCUCCUGGGCCCUGCUGAGCUGUCGGCAGAUGGGUUUCGGCCUCGGGAAGGCCGGGGACUGCACAUUUACGCAGGCCCUCUGGGCUCCUGAAGAGAGAGGCCUGGAAUUGAGCAGUAGAGCUGGGGGUUCAGACCAAUCCUCCCUACGCGCACCCCACGAGAGUUCUGAGUUCUUAAGCCCCAGCUCGCACAGCAGCCUUUGGGCAGGUGCAGGUUUUGUUUUAGGCUCUCCAGUGAAACGAUUUCUCAACGCGAUGUUUCUAGAUCACCGAGUGCCUGUUUUCAACGAUACAGUGCAAACUUUCUCGUACCCGGGCGGAUAAAGCCCGAAUGAAGUCAAACCACCGUCCUUUUAAAAAUAUGAAAUUAAAGAAAAUAAUGAAAGGCCCCGGAAACCCUGAUGUGCAUUAGAUGUGUCCACUCAUUUUCAAAUAAUUAUUUGACGAAUGAUCGGGGAAGUGAGUUUUCCAAAUUUAUCUCUUCCCUCCCAGUCUAUAAGAAAUGUCUUGACGGUAGGCGAGCAGGUAUUCUGGUCUUUCCCUUCCCUGUCCGUCCAGGCGCUCAGGAGCUGCACGCCGGUCCACCUCAAGGACUGGAGGGAGCAGACACCUUUCUUUGUGAGUCUCCUUAGCUGGGAACUUUCCCGCGCGGCGGGUUCCCCUUUAAGAAAGUAGCGAUUGCUAUGAAUAUUUAAUGCGGAGCUGGAGCCCGUCGGGCCGAGGGGAGACCGGCCCGCUGUCUGCGGCCGGGGCGCACCGCUAGCUAGCUCAUCCCCACCAGUUCAGCUACGUUAGGAGGAGGAGGACGGUGGUUUGCGGGAGGAAAAGCUUUGGAGAGAGGGGGCGCGGGGAAUAGGGGACCCGAUCGAGUUCAGUAGGCCAGCGCCAGUCAUUUCCAUAAGAAAGCCGCAACCCAGCUGGAGGCUGCGGUUCUUCGGUGCCUCCCUGCCCCCACUGCGGUCCGCAGCGCGUCGCGGACUUCCCGGGAGCCUAGAUCUAGGCGACUAGUGUGGAUUGGUGUUGAUGAGAUGUGGCUUCCAGCCUUGCCCGACUCAGACCUGUUUCCAGUCUGGAUGGAGUGGACCGAUCCUGUAGGGUGAGUCCAGGGAGCGGCUGAGCCGCUAGAGUUGAAGAGAACUCCGAGAUGCUAGCCCGCACUGGGCACCUCCGACUAGGAAGUCCUGUAAAGUACUGAAGCCGGGUUUAAAGACUGGGGGAGGCCCUAGAACCUAAAUUGUCCGUGCGGCCCCUCUCAAGUCCCAGGAGCUUUCGCUUUCAGUGGGUGACCCUCUUCCUGCGAAGGGGUGGAAAGUGAACUUGGUCAGGCAUUUGUUCGAACUAGCGAGGCAGUUCUUUUCUGUUUACAUUGAGUUUCUUCUUUACUUCUCAAGCACGCACAACGGCCAGCGUCUUCAGGUCUAUCACACACACACACACACACACACACACACACACACACACACACACACACAUCUCAUCUCAUCUAGAGAAAUUAAAACCUAGAUCUAUAGUGUUUAUUCUUAGUGUACAAAAAAAAAAAAGCAGAGAAGAUGAUGUGUGAGACAGAUGUCUUCUUCACUCUGCCUUCUACUGGGAAAAGUUGGCUGAGAGGGAGUAGCUUCCCUUUAUGGGUUCUGAACCACCUGUAUUUUGCCACAAAACUAAGUUGGGUCACUAAUAAAACACCAGUUACAUGGAGCAAUGAAACCAAUUAUAACUUUAUUACUAUGAUUAGAGUUGAGAACUUUAAACUCAGACAAUACAAUCGUUAUCUUUUAAAAUCGGCUAAGAUUUUUUUUACACCAUCCCUCCCCCUUCCACUCCCCACCCCGGGUCCCCAGGAAGUGAGACUGGAGAUGGUAUUUCGGGAGUUCGUAUGCGUCCAUCCGUGCUCAAUGCUGUAUUUGUUUCUUUUUAGUGAAGUUUGUUGUUCUUUCUGGUACCUAAUGGUACCUUGAUUCCUGAUUCUGUCAAAUUAUGGAGAGCGCAAUUGAAGAUGCCAGUUACAACCGCCUUGGUUUGGAUAUGGAAUUGGGGCAAGCACCCCCUUCCAGUACUCUUGUAAUGCUGAAAACCUAUUUAAAAGAACAAAUUGUUUUAACUUCUAUUACAGGUGGGGUAAUGGCUUUGGGGGUGAGAGGAACAAAUGAAACUCAACAGCAAAGGAGAAAAUGGAGAAUUGGCGCCACAGUUUACGUGCUCUUUUUGCUUGUGGGUUGGCAUGGCGUUGGUGAGUCAUUCCUAAGACCGUGGCUGUCUGAAGAGGGGAAAGUAUCAGAGUUUCAUCAGUCUAGAAGCUACCUCCAGGAGGCCAUCUGCCACUUCCCUCUCUCUUGGCCAGCCUCUUGCUAUCCCCAAGUGGAAGUCCCGUGCUCAGUUGUGUGUGGGGGGUUUGGAGAAAAGGAGGAAAUUAAAUUGCUGUUCGAGUCCACAGUAAGAACAGCGGAACAACUCACAAAGGCUCCUUUACCUCUAGGAAACAGGCGAGCCAAGCAGUGGGGCAGUUGGAAGGGACCAGUUAUUUUAUAUGUCACCUCUGCUCACAGUCCUGGCUUUCUAGAGCAUUGGAGACUUCAGGGUAAUGAGAAUGAAGUCUGUCUUGCUCAAGACAUCUACCCAGCUGCUCAGCUCCUGGGUGGAAGUCCACAGCACCAACGCGCAUCUCCUUCUGAUUUACCUGCCAGGCUGGUGUGGACAUAGAUGGCUAGGCUGUGUGGCCCACACUUGACCUGCUUGGGAUUAGCAGCCCCUCUGCUCAGCAGCCUUAAAGCUUUUGAUUAUUUCUGAGCACUGGGUGGCCUCUUCCCUUAUGAGAAGCCCACGGACCUCCUCCCCACUUCUAUUAUGUCAGAGUUAAUUGCCCUACAGUGGGGUGUCUCUCAUGGUGGGAUGGCCAAGAAGUACAGCAGGGAAGGACAGUGUCCUCCACAGGUAAGGUGUUGACAUGGAAUUCUCUUUCUGUUUGAUAGCCAAAGGGUCCUGAAACUGAAACUUCCUUUGAAUGGGAUGGGGCUCCGGCAAUUUUUCUUCAGUGGUUCCCUAGGGACAGUCCUUUUUUGCCCUGGCCUAGGCUGUUGGCGCCCUGUGUGAGGUCCUGAAACUAAAACUAAUGUUGCUUUCACUGGGUAGCUCACCCCAGUGGCACAGCUUAAUAGGAGAGCUUCCAGGUCAGCAGCAAAUGUCCUCUUGUUGCUAAGUAUCCUAAGAACAAAUCCCCUGUUGAUGCUAUGAAAGACUGAACAUGAAGCUAAGACAGGACUCCUCACAGCUCUAGAGCUUUCUUACCCAGUCCAUGGUAGAGUAUAGCAGGGCUUGGGAAGAGAUGGGGGGAGGGGGGAGGCGGACAAUCACUUUCUCUUUGAGAAAUCUUGUAGCUUUAGACAAACUACAAAGCAGUAAUAUCCAGAGGACAGGAAGAGGGAGUGAUGCUGACCCCAGGCCUGAGGGCUCUGUGGUCUAAUCCACUUGUACUGAGAGUUCUAGGAUUCCACAAGAAAGGAAAGGUCAGAGCUCCCCAAAAUAACCAGGAAAACUGAUCCUUAUAUCUGCCCCUGUCCCAAAGAGGUCCACCACAGCACUGGGGGCUGAAGGAUCUGCCUUUCAGGGUACCUGGUUUGAGAAUCUGAGGGUUUUUUUUUUUUUCAACGUAUAAUUUGCCCUGGAAAUAGAUAAGGAGGAAGCAUCCUUCCUUCCCUCAGAGAUAGGAAACCUACUCACUACUAGGCUAUCCUCCUCGCCAUCCUCAUAGGUAGCCUUUACUUAGUGUUCAGUGUGCCAGGUAAGCUAGGGGAGAAGCUGACCUGUUCCCCCAGAAAUCUCAGUAUAUGAAAACGAAUAUUUUCUAAGAAAACUUUCUAUGACUUUAAAGAUUUCCAUUGCUAGAGCCCAUCCACUUUUAUCUGAGUUUCUUGUAAACCAGCAAAGCUAGCUUCCCCUCCUUUUCUUCUUUGUGGUGUGAGGUUGCAUAUUGUGGGGAGGGGAGGUGGCUUAUUUGAUGUUGGUUGAAGCCAGUUCCUCUGACCCUGUCCUCACCACCGGGCUCUUUGUAAGGAACUGCUGUUGGAAAUUACACAUUUAAGAUCCUUAGUUUUCUCUCUCCCCCCCUGCUAUUCUAGAGAAAUCAACAAGACAUAGACACAUUAAGUCACAUGAAGUAGACUGGCCUGAUCAUCCACAAUGCAUCCCAUUUGCACUUGGAUAUAACUAGGGGUGAGGUGGGUGAGGUGCUCUGUUACCCAUUGCCUCCUGAAACCUACCAAGUCUGUCUGACUGGCAGGAAUUUCUAGAAGUUUCUACAGAAGCCAUCCCUCAGGUAUCCCAGAGCAGUUUAAUCCUGUGAGAAGAAGGAAAAGCAGGUGAGGAGUCUGGAGGGCUAGCAUAAGAAACAGGGGCUCCUCUCUGUACCUCAGCAGAGCUGGGGGGCUCAGGCCAGGAGGUCUGUGGCAGUCUCUUUGGGCUUCUUUUUGGUUGAAUGGUAACACCGUGCAUCAGAGGGACAGUCACUGACUGUAUUUCACAUACGGUUGUAUCCUCCUCUCUCACCUUUCCUGUGAGGAGUGAAAUCUGUGGAAUUUUUGUACCUGCCCCUGACCUUGAACACCAGCUCUGAGCUUUGUGUUCUCUGCUUGUGCACUGAGCUCCACUUUGUAUUUCCCAAAGUAAUGCUUCUACCGCUGACUUGAAGGGGAGUAGGGGAGCUGCACCUGGAGCUCGCUCUGCCCUGUGGAGAUGUAGAGUGACUUGUUAUUGUUUCUUUUUCUCUCAUCUGUCUUAUCUAGCUCCUGCCAGCUGCUCAGUGCUAACACCACGGUGGGCAAGUAACAGGAUCAAUGGCAUGGGAAUCCUACCUAGAUUCUGUGGGUCCCACUUUAUGGUAUGGAGAGGUAUCUUUUCCACAGCAGCCUGCUCUUUCCAUAGGAAGGCUAUACUGAUGCAGACACCUGUCUAACCUAAGGAACCCUCUCCGUUUGUGAGCCUUCCACUUCCUCAGCAGGGAGGCCUGCUUCUCCAAGUCGGCCUGUAACCCUCAACCUUACCAAGUGAGUCAAGGGCCUUUCUACCUGCACACAUAGUCACUUGGAGAAAAUGGAGUGUAUAUAACUCCCCUCAGAUGGUCUAUCUGUAAGGUAAGGCAUUCACAUAAGGAUCUCUCCCCAAGUCCCCACCUAUCUGUCCCCAGUCACCUGUCUUGGUUUUCUGGCAGGGGUCUGUGGAGACGCAAAUUAAGUGGAGGUUUCCUUCUCUAAGGGCUUUGUUUCCCUCUGAUGCCCCAGCUCAUACUGCAGAACAAAGGGAGGAGGUUAGUGAUUUCUCUUUCAGUCUCCUGGUCCCUAAUUUCCACCUCUCCUCCACAGGGUUCCUCUUUGAGACUGCAGGGAAGCCUGGGGUGCAGGUGGGGUCAGGUCCAAAACACUAUACUACUGCUGACCUUGCCAGCCCCUUCUCCUUGAGAAGCUGAGAACCCAUUUUAGAUGCUAGCCACUGUGCCUUUGAGUACUUUGGUCACUUCCACUUCCAAAGGCUGCAUAGUUGAGGCUGAUAGCUUCACAUACCUCUCUGGUUAAAAAACAUUGAAGACAAGGUCUGGUGAUACCUCAAAGAGGUAAAGCACUCAAAGGACAUCCCCCCACACCAACCGCCCCCCACACACACCUCAAGCUUAUCAGCAUACAUUGCCUUUGCAAGGCCCUGUAUUCUCAUCACCGCAGAAAACAAACAAAAACAAACAAACAAACAAAAACCACACGGGUCAGCUAUUAAAUAGCUCUUGGAAGAGGUUAAAGGUCUUUCCCUUGGGGCUGAGAAAUUUUUAAGCCCUUUUGGGUAGAUCCUCAGGGGAUAGAAAUUAAACUUGCUGGUGCAAUUUUAAAAUUUGAAAUAGCUCUCCUCUUAAAACUGUUCGUUGAAAUGGUUUUUAGAUAACAUUUUGUUUGCUCACCAUUGUGAGUCUAGAGAGUCUCCAGGCCAAGCCACUGGGCCUUUUGUGCUAGUUUUGGGGUACCCAAUCUACUUUCUGAUUAGAUCUGUUGAAUUUGUCUUUAACUCUGCGGGUGGUUUUUCCAGACUUGAAAAAUGUAAAUGAAAAGUUAACUCCUUCCCUGCCAGCCUAUUACAGGAAGGUUCCCCUCCCCUCGCCCCCCAGAAUGCCAACUUGGCUUCUACUCAUAAAAGUAGGCACUGUGUCUGACCUGGGCAGAAAGAGGAGAUUUGACACUUUUCAUUUCAGGGCUGACACGGGAGUCUUUGGAAAGCCAGUAUCUAUUUUGUUUCAGUGUGCAGAGUUCUAGCCAAUGACUUGGAGGGGGGCGGGCACCUUCUGCUAUGAGCCAGUCCGUGAGGGCAUAACUCAUUCCCGAGUUCUCUUUCCCAAGAAUAUCUCUUGUUCUUUAAAAUAAUAGUAAUAAAAAAAUCAGAAUAAGAA